rnacentral:rRNA from 1 species
UACGUAGGGUGCAAGCGUUAAUCGGAAUUACUGGGCGUAAAGCGUGCGCAGGCGGCUAUGCAAGACAGAUGUGAAAUCCCCGGGCUCAACCUGGGAACUGCAUUUGUGACUGCAUAGCUAGAGUACGGUAGAGGGGGAUGGAAUUCCGCGUGUAGCAGUGAAAUGCGUAGAUAUGCGGAGGAACACCGAUGGCGAAGGCAAUCCCCUGGACCUGUACUGACGCUCAUGCACGAAAGGCGUGGGGAGCAAACAGG